rnacentral:lncRNA from 1 species
UUUUGUGCAUAUUUUUGGUCAUUGCAUGGCAUAGGCAAUUUGAGGCAUUUGAUUAUUGAGUUGAUGCUGGUACUUUUGAGGACAUUUUGGGGAAUGUUUGAAGGUGUAAUGUGUAGAAGGAUGGGUUCUUUUGGUCAUUUGGUUAGGUUUUGAAUUUGGCCUUUGCAUUAGGGUUUUGUUGUGUUGAGUUUUGUAUUAGGGUUUUGUUGUGUUAAAAUAAUAAAAUAUCAAUCAGAGUAAUUAUGCCCUGAAGGGUGUC